rnacentral:lncRNA from 1 species
CCUGGUCAUCCCUACUGCCUCUGAUCUGGAGGACUCACUAAACAGAGAACAUCCCUGGUUAUCCCUACUGCCUCUGAUCUGGUGGACUCACUAAACAGAGAACAUCCCUGGUCAUCCCUACUGCCUCUGAUCUGGAGGACUCACUAAACAGAGAACAUCCCUGGUUAUCCCUACUGCCUCUGAUCUGGUGGACUCACUAAACAGAGAACAUCCCUGGUCCUCCCUACUGCCUCUGAUCUGGAGGACUCACUAAACAGAGAACAUCCCUGGUCAUCCCUACUGCCUCUGAUCUGGAGGACUCACUAAACAGAGAACAUCCCUGGUCGUCCCUACUGCCUCUGAUCUGGAGGACUCACUAAACAGAGAACAUCCCUGGUCAUCCCUACUGCCUCUGAUCUGGUGGACUCACUAAACAGAGAACAUCCCUGGUCAUCCCUACUGCCUCUGAUCUGGAAGACUCACUAAACAGAGAACAUCCCUGGUCAUCCCUACUGCCUCUGAUCUGGUGGACUCACUAAACAGAGAACAUCCCUGGUCAUCCCUACUGCCUCUGAUCUGGAGGACUCACUAAACAGAGAACAUCCUUGGUCAUCCCUACUGCCUCUGAUCUGGAGGACUCACUAAACAGAGAACAUCCCUGGUUAUCCCUACUGCCUCUGAUCUGGUGGACUCACUAAACAGAGAACAUCCCUGGUCAUCCCUACUGCCUCUGAUCUGGAGGACUCACUAAACAGAGAACAUCCCUGGUCAUCCCUACUGCCUCUGAUCUGGAGGACUCACUAAACAGAGAACAUCCCUGGUCGUCCCUACUGCCUCUGAUCUGGAGGACUCACUAAACAGAGAACAUCCCUGGUUAUCCCUACUGCCUCUGAUCUGGUGGACUCACUAAACAGAGAACAUCCCUGGUCAUCCCUACUGCCUCUGAUCUGGAAGACUCACUAAACAGAGAACAUCCCUGGUCAUCCCUACAGCCUCUGAUCUGGAGGACUCACUAAAUAGAGAACAUCCCUGGUUAUCCCUACUGCCUCUGAUCUGGUGGACUCACUAAACAGAGAACAUCCCUGGUCAUCCCUACUGCCUCUGAUCUGGAGGACUCACUAAACAGAGAACAUCCUUGGUCAUCCCUACUGCCUCUGAUCUGGAGGACUCACUAAACAGAGAACAUCCCUGGUUAUCCCUACUGCCUCUGAUCUGGUGGACUCACUAAACAGAGUACAUCCCUGGUCAUCCCUACUGCCUCUGAUCUGGAGGACUCACUAAACAGAGAACAUCCUUGGUCCUCCCUACUGCCUCUGAUCUGGAGUGUACCCCUGGCUAUCCAUAAAUAAAAUAAAAACAAGAAAAUGGUGCUUUUCUGCUUAAUAGAAGGAAUUUGAAAAAAACAUAUAUUUUUUUUAACUUUUGAUACUUAAGGAUAUUUUUAUAAAUGUACUUUUGAUACUUCAGUAUAUUUAAAACCAAAAUACCUUUAGACUUUUACUCAAGUAGUAUUUUACUAGGUGACUCACUUUUACUUGAGUCAUUUUCUAUGUAUCUUUUGUAUCUUUAGUACUUUUUCCACCAUUGAGUUUGUUUUUAUUAUAUUUGAGUACGCGAGUUAGUUUUAAAAAAAGGGUCUAUGCAGGUAGUUUGGGUAUUUAGCAGGCAGUCUUAUGCCUUGGAUGUCACAUCCUGACCAGUAAUAGGGGAUAUUUGUUAUUGUAGUUUGGUCAGGACGUGGCAGAGGGUAUUUGUUAUUGUAGUUUGGUCAGGACGUGGCAGAGGGGUAUUUGUUAUUGUAGUUUGGUCAGGACGUGGCAGAGGGGUAUUUGUUAUUGUAGUUUGGUCAGGACGUGGCAGAGGGUAUUUGUUAUUGUAGUUUGGUCAGGACGUGGCAGAGGGGUUAUUUGUUAUUGUAGUUUGGUCAGGACGUGGCAGAGGGGUAUUUGUUAUUGUAGUUUGGUCAGGACGUCGCAGGGGGUAUUUGUUAUUGUAGUUUGGUCAGGACGUGGCAGAGGGGGAUUUGUUAUUGUAGUUUGGUCAGGACGUGGCAGAGGGGUAUUUGUUAUUGUAGUUUGGUCAGGACGUGGCAGAGGGGUAUUUGUUAUUGUAGUUUGGUCAGGACGUGGCAGAGGGGUUAUUUGUUAUUGUAGUUUGGUCAGGACGUGGCAGAGGGGUAUUUGUUAUUGUAGUUUGGUCAGGACGUGGCAGAGGGGUAUUUGUUAUUGUAGUUUGGUCAGGACGUGGCAGAGGGGUAUUUGUUAUUGUAGUUUGGUCAGGACGUGGCAGAGGGGUAUUUGUUAUUGUAGUUUGGUCAGGACGUGGCAGAGGGGUAUUUGUUUUAUGUGGUUUGGUCAGGACGUGGCAGAGGGGUAUUUGUUAUUGUAGUUUGGUCAGGACGUGGCAGAGGGUUAUUUGUUAUUGUAGUUUGGUCAGGACGUGGCAGAGGGGUUAUUUGUUAUUGUAGUUUGGUCAGGACGUGGCAGAGGGGUAUUUGUUAUUGUAGUUUGGUCAGGACGUGGCAGAGGGGUAUUUGUUAUUGUAGUUUGGUCAGGACGUGGCAGAGGGGUAUUUGUUAUUGUAGUUUGGUCAGGACGUGGCAGAGGGGUUAUUUGUUAUUGUAGUUUGGUCAGGACGUGGCAGAGGGUAUUUGUUAUUGUAGUUUGGUCAGGACGUGGCAGAGGGGUUAUUUGUUAUUGUAGUUUGGUCAGGACGUGGCAGAGGGUGUUUGUAUUGUAGUUUGGUCAGGACGUGGCAGAGGGUAUUUGUUUUAUGUGGUUCGGGGUGGUGGUUUGUUUAGAAGGGUGUUUGAUUUAUUAUUUCCGGGUUUUGGGUAAUGUUCUAUGUUCUCUCUAGUUUAGUAUUUCUAUGUCUAGGUAAUUGGGUGUUGGACUCUCAAUUGGAGGCAGGUGUUUUUAGUUGUCUCUGAUUGAGAGUCCUAUAUAUAGGUAUGUGUUGGUAUUAGUGUUUGGUGGGAGAUUGUUUCUGUGUGUAGCUCCAAGCCUUACAGGACUGUUAUUCGUCGUUGUUUCUUUGUUGUUGUGUACGUGUUUAUUUUUGGUUUCACCUUCUUCUUCGCCAACUAAUUAAAAAAAGAAGAUGAGUGCACAUUUCCCCGCUGCGUCUUGGUCCGCUUUAUCCGACGACAACCGUUACAUUACAUACGGUCCUGUUGGUUCCGGACUCGGUGUAAUGGUUCCUCCUGCCGUUCAGUAGCAGAGAGAACAAUCUAUGACUUGGGGUGGCUGGAGUCUUUGACAAUUUUUUUGGGGGG